GGGUGAGAGAGUAAAAAAGAAAGGAAAUAAAAAAAGUCCCGGGUCUGAGGACUGAAGAAUCCUCUGUCUGAACUGGCGUUUUGGUCCCAAUGCAAGAACUCGGCGGCACUGCAGUGAAUGCAGCUGAUCUGCACUCAAAUUUAUAUUAAAAAAAUCUCUAAAAGAGAUGUAGACCGUGGUCUUCAGUGUCUGAAUCUGCUGCAGCUAAUCCACAGUUAAAAGGGCAGUUCUUCGACUCUCGUAGCUCCUUUUAUAAUCUCUGUCUCCUCAGUUUGUUGCUGGCAGUCCCACCCCUACAGUUUCUGUUGACUGGUGCUGGUAAAAAAACUUCUCCUCCAAGUCUGCUGUUGCUGGGGGUAACUGAGGUUUCUGGCGGGAAAGUUUCUCAUUAGUAUGCACUGUUGUUGUGGCGUCAGGCUACAAGUCCUCUGGAGCAGGCUAAAAAUUCUUUGCAAGAUGCUGCUGGUGAGGGGAUUUGCUUUGAAGCCCUGGAAAGUGACAAAUUUAAAAGGGAUUAUUAAACUCACAAAUAAUGUAUAGCAACAAAUAAUAUAGUAAGGGACCACAAAAAUAGGGACAAUGCUUAUGGCAAUUGACAACCUUGUUGGCAGAACUAUCAAACAUUCAAUUAGAACACACAAAAAAACCAAUCAGUACAAUUCUACAAUGACCGACUUCUAAACAGCAACUUCAAACAAUCCCACAUGCAAAAGCCAGUCGAGGGGUUUUAUAGAUGACACCGGGACUGUUCUUGGCUAUGCAGGACCAGACUGACAACCCCUGGUACAGCGAGAGAUGUCCCUCCCUGGGGCUAAGAUGGGACAGGAUGAACUUGAACGUCGCUCACAACCGAAAGCACUCAAGUGAGAGACACACGGGCAUGUGUCAGCAGCCAGGGUUGCACACUUGCCUCGGGAGCAAGAAGCCACUCGUCCUAAGCAGAAAGGUGUUGCUGCCGAGUGUGCAAUGGGUGAAGAUGUGGAGAAUGAGCUCUGCUGCAGCACUGGGAGUGUGAAGGAGCGCCUGGAGUCCCAGAACAGAUCAGAAGCUGUGAAUGUAAAGAAGAAAACCCUACAGUUUCUGUGCCAGUGGACCAGAUCCCAUCCCAAGGUGGCCCUGUCCCUGGCUGUGCUUGUGAUCCUGGCCCUGACUUUGGUGGUGACCUGGGCUUUGCAGUCAGGUGCUUGCACAGUACACUGCUCUCAUUCCUGCUGGUGAGCAAAGGCUUGCAAGACGUGGUUUGCUCUCUACCCUACACCUGCUCCCCGUGCAAUGGAAUUCAUCACAGUGAUCAUCAGUCUCCUCUGGUUUUGGCCCUGUGCCCCUUGCUUUGUAAAAGACUAUGAAAUUAUACCCCAAAUUUACCUUCCUUUGAGAUCUCCCCAACGGACAGAAGACUCUGCAUCGUUGGAUGGCUGAGUGGACUUCGACAUUGGUAGCUGUAAUCCCCUUACUCUCUUUUCCUUAUGCUUUGCUUUCUCCUCUUUUCUCUUUGUCGCAUAUUAGUGCUGAUGAGCAC